UAGGUAAUCUUCGGCAAUGGACGGAAGUCUGACCGAGCAACGCCGCGUGAGUGAAGAAGGUCUUCGGAUCGUAAAGCUCUGUUGUCAGAGAAGAACGUUGGUAGGAGUGGAAAAUCUACCAAGUGACGGUAACUAACCAGAAAGGGACGGCUAACUACGUGCCAGCAGCCGCGGUAAUACGUAGGUCCCGAGCGUUGUCCGGAUUUAUUGGGCGUAAAGCGUGCGCAGGCGGUUCUUUAAGUCUGAAGUUAAAGGCAGUGGCUUAACCAUUGUACGCUUUGGAAACUGGAGGACUUGAGUGCGGAAGGGGAGAGUGGAAUUCCAUGUGUAGCGGUGAAAUGCGUAGAUAUAUGGAGGAACACCGGUGGCGAAGGCAGCUCUCUGGUCUGAAACUGACGCUGAGGCUCGAAAGCGUGGGGAGCAAACAGG
rnacentral:rRNA from 1 species